UUUAAUUCAUAUUUUUUUUUAUAUACAUAUAUUUAGAUCUGCACAUUUUUUUCAUAACUAACUACCCUGAUUUUUCCUAAACCCUGACAAUUUCGCCACAAACUCUAAAUUUCAAACCUAAAACUUUAACCGUGUUGUUUCCUCUAAACCAUAAACCUUUUCUUAAACCUUAACAAACCUUAUUAUUAUUUCCUAUUUUCGCUCAUAUUUAUGUUAUUCAUACACUG
rnacentral:lncRNA from 1 species